rnacentral:rRNA from 1 species
CCUACGGGGGGCAGCAGUGAGGAAUAUUGGUCAAUGGACGAGAGUCUGAACCAGCCAAGUAGCGUGAAGGAUGACUGCCCUAUGGGUUGUAAACUUCUUUUAUAAAGGAAUAAAACGAGGCACGUGUGCCUUUUUGCAUGUACUUUAUGAAUAAGGAUGGGCUAACGCCGUGCCAGCAGCCGCGGUAAUACGGAGGAUGCGAGCGUUAUCCGGAUUGAUUGGGUUUAAAGGGAGCGUAGAUGGGUUGUUAAGUCAGUUGUGAAAGUUUGCGGCUCAACCGUAAAAUUGCAAUUGAUACUGGCAGUCUUGAGUACAGGUGAGGUAGGCGGAAUUCGUGGUGUAGCGGUGAAAUGCUUAGAUAUCACGAAGAACCCCGAUUGCGAAGGCAGCUUACUAAACUGUGACUGACAUUGAUGCUCGAAAGUGUGGGUAUCAAACAGGAUUAGAUACCCUUGUAGUC